AGAACGAACGCUGGCGGCAUGCCUAACACAUGCAAGUCGAACGCUUCCGGGGCUUCGGUCGCGGAGGAGUGGCGCACGGGUGAGUAGCGCGUGGGAACCUGCCCUGUUGUGGGGGAUAACCGAGGGAAACUUCGGCUAAUACCGCAUACGCCCCGGGACUUGGUCUUCGGAUUAGGUCUGGGGGGAAAGAUUGAUCGCAGCAGGAGGGGCCCGCGUCGGAUUAGCUGGUUGGUGGGGUAACGGCUCACCAAGGCGAUGAUCCGUAGCUGGUCUGAGAGGAUGAUCAGCCACACUGGGACUGAGACACGGCCCAGACUCCUACGGGAGGCAGCAGUGGGGAAUAUUGGACAAUGGGGGCAACCCUGAUCCAGCAAUGCCGCGUGAGUGAUGAAGGCCUUAGGGUUGUAAAAUUCUUUUAGCAGGGACGAUAAUGACGGUACCUGCAGAAAAGCCCCGGACUAACUUCGCGCCAGCAGCCGCGUAA
rnacentral:rRNA from 1 species